GUGGAUUAGAUACCCUGGUAGUCCACGCCGUAAACUCUGUCAACUAGCGAUAGGGAGAGUCGACCCUCUCUGUCGCGAAGCUAACGCGUCAAGUUGACCGCCUGGGAAGUACGAUCGCAAGAUUAAAACUCAAAGGAAUUGGCGGGGGCUCGCACAAGUGGUGGAGCAUGUGGUUUAAUUCGACAAUAACCGAGGAACCUUAUCCAGGGCUUGACAUCUUGGGAACCUCUCCGAAAAGAGAGGGUGCCGCAAGGAGCCCAAAGACAGGUACUGCACGGUCGUCGUCAGCU
rnacentral:rRNA from 1 species